rnacentral:lncRNA from 1 species
UUGAGAUUUCCAUUCGGUUGCGUGUUCCUACUGGCGGUAUCCCCGGGGAGACCAACUGAGCUGCCAACCUAGGCUGUGCUUUGAGGCAUCAUAAGCACAUUCCCGACACCAGGAACUGACUUCCCAAAGACAUUUCAUG